AGAACGAACGCUGGCGGCAUGCCUAAUACAUGCAAGUCGAACGAACUCUUCGGAGUUAGUGGCGCACGGGUGCGUAACGCGUGGGAAUCUGCCCCUUGGUUCGGAAUAACAGUUGGAAACGACUGCUAAUACCGGAUGAUGACGAAAGUCCAAAGAUUUAUCGCCAAGGGAUGAGCCCGCGUAGGAUUAGCUAGUUGGUGAGGUAAAGGCUCACCAAGGCAACGAUCCUUAGCUGGUCUGAGAGGAUGAUCAGCCACAACGUGGGAGUGAGACACGGCCCAG
rnacentral:rRNA from 1 species